rnacentral:rRNA from 1 species
UACGUAGGGUGCGAGCGUUAAUCGGAAUUACUGGGCGUAAAGCGUGCGCAGGCGGUUCGCCAAGUCAGGUGUGAAAUCCCCGGGCUUAACCUGGGAAUUGCGCUUGAAACUAGCGGGCUUGAGUGCGGCAGAGGGGGGUGGAAUUCCACGUGUAGCAGUGAAAUGCGUAGAGAUGUGGAGGAACACCGACGGCGAAGGCAGCCCCCUGGGUCGACACUGACGCUCAUGCACGAAAGCGUGGGGAGCAAACAGG